rnacentral:rRNA from 1 species
AGGACGAACGCUGGCGGCGUGCUUAAUACAUGCAAGUCGAGCGAGGUUACUGGAGUGGAGCCCUUCGGGGUGAAGCUGCUUUAACCUAGCGGCGGACGGGUGAGUAACGCGUGGGUAACCUACCCCAAAGCCCGGGAUAACAGCGGGAAACCGCUGCUAAUACCGGAUGACUUUACCUUGGGGCAUCUUGAGGUAAAGAAAGGUUAACGCUUUGGGAUGGGCCCGCGUCCCAUUAGCUAGUUGGUGAGGUAACGGCUCACCAAGGCGACGAUGGGUAGCCGGCCUGAGAGGGUGGACGGCCACACUGGGACUGAGACACGGCCCAGACUCCUACGGGAGGCAGCAGUAGGGAAUAUUGCGCAAUGGACGGAAGUCUGACGCAGCGACGCCGCGUGAGCGAUGAAGGCCUUCGGGUCGUAAAGCUCUGUCCUUGGGGAAGAAGGUCUUCGGACUUGACGGUACCCAAGAAGAAAGCCCCGGCUAACUACGUG